ensembl:snoRNA
ACUUUGUUUCAGCCCAUGGUGAGGCCUUCUCUGGGGGCCUCUCAUUGUGGACCCCUGCCAGAGGAAUGUGCAGCCUCGAACCAUUGUUCAGCCUCCUUAAUGGUGGGCUGUGAGCACUGAAGGGGGCGGUACAGCA